UAGGGAAUCUUCGGCAAUGGACGAAAGUCUGACCGAGCAACGCCGCGUGAGUGAAGAAGGUUUUCGGAUCGUAAAACUCUGUUGUUAGAGAAGAACAAGGACGUUAGUAACUGAACGUCCCCUGACGGUAUCUAACCAGAAAGCCACGGCUAACUACGUGCCAGCAGCCGCGGUAAUACGUAGGUGGCAAGCGUUGUCCGGAUUUAUUGGGCGUAAAGCGAGCGCAGGCGGUUUCUUAAGUCUGAUGUGAAAGCCCCCGGCUCAACCGGGGAGGGUCAUUGGAAACUGGUAGACUUGAGUGCAGAAGAGGAGAGUGAAAUUCCAUGUGUAGCGGUGAAAUGCGUAGAUAUAUGGAGGAACACCAGUGGCGAAGGCGGCUCUCUGGUCUGUAACUGACGCUGAGGCUCGAAAGCGUGGGGAGCAAACAGG
rnacentral:rRNA from 1 species